UUAACCAGGUUUUCCGAAGGAAAAAACUGGUUAUUAGAUUGGCGAAUGCGGGCGGGCUGGCUGGCUGGCUGGCGAGCUGGCUGGCUGGCGGGCUGGCGGAACAAGCUUGUCCGGGCCAUAACUAUGUCGUUCAUUGUCAGAUUUUAAAAUCAUUUGGCACAUUUGUUCACCAUCAUUGGACGGUGUGUCGCGCGAAAUAAUUACGUCGAUAUCUCCAAGGUCAAGGUCACACUUUGAGUUCAAAGGUCAAAAAUGGCCAUAAAUGAGCGUGUCCUGGCCAUAACUAUGUCAUUCAUUGUGAGAUUUUAAAAUCAUUUGGCACAUUUGUUCACCAUCAUGGGACGGUGUGUCCCACGAAAGAAUCACGUCAAUAUCUCCAAUGUCAAGGUCGCCACGACUAAAAAUAGAUUUAAAAAAAAAACAAACUUACAAAGGGGGUUAAUUUUUUUUGGUCAUUUCAAGAGUUCAGUUUGAGUUUUCUCCCUUUAUCAGAUUUUUUUUUCACAAUGAAAACCUGGUUUUGUGACAAUUUUGUCCCUUGUUUAUCUUUCAAAUAGUUAAAUAUUGUUAUUAUUAAUUUUUCAUGAAAACAUUUAAAGCAAAAACUGCUGAACCAUUUCAGACAUAAAAAACAAACAAACACUAUAUCAGAUGAGGCUAAGAAUAAAAGAAGGAUAAAGCUUGCCUUCUAACUCCCAUUUUUACAGAAAUAAUGGAAUAAAAUCUCUAUGACGUUGCAUUUUUAGUGGGAAUGAAUAUUUUGUAUGACAUUUGACGUGUAAAUCAUGAGCAUUGAAAAAUAAUUGGCUGUAUUUGUUGUGUUUGUGUCAAUAAUAUAUAACAUACAUGUAUUGGUAUCUAAUUGUUUGGUUUGUUGAAUCUGAUUCUAUUUUGCCUAUAAAGUCUAUAAUGAUAAUUAUAGUUGUUUCUGAGUAAUUUGACCUACCAUACCUCCAAACAUGGAUCUGAUAAAACAACUUCUUGUUGAAGUGAUACAGUUUUACAUCAGACAGAUAUCAAUGUAAGGGCUGGUUUGAUUAAAUGUUAUAUUUAAAACAAACCAAAAGGCAACUACUUUUGUAGACAUUUAUAGUUAGUCAGAAAAUUGUUGUACUGACUUAAAAUGUAUUGAUAAAAUGUUGCUAAUAAACCUUUUGAUCAGUAAAGCUAGUUUUGAUUGUUGUGCUUAAAGUACAUGUUGGAAAUAAACACUAAUUUUUAAACAACUACAUUCAAGUUGUUUAAUAAGAUGAUAUUUUUUGUAAAUCAUAAUGUAACGUAAAAUUUUGCUGUGUCACAUUUGCCACUUUACCUAAAACAAAUAGUUUUCAUAGUUGGUGUGUUAUACAUUUGUAUUACACUUAUUAAAAUUGAAAGAGAGAAUUAACAUAUAUAGGGCACACUAUUUCUGGAUGUUCUUAUUAGGGAACCUCCUUCAUUACUGUGCGUUCAAUUAUCGAUUGUUGUGUUUUUAGCUCACCUGAGCACAAUGUGCUAAUGGUGAGCUUUUGUGAUCGCCUUUUGUCUGUUGUCCGUGGUGCGGUGUCAACAUUUGCCUUGUAAACACUCUAAAAGUCACAUUUAUUUUUCCUUAUAACACUACGGCUUUAGUAAAACCUUGUUUACAUCGUAAAACUUGGUCAGAAGAUUAGUUCCAAUGAUAUCUUGGAAGAGUUCGAAAAUGGUUGCUUGAAAAACAUGGCCACCAGGGGGCAGGGCAUUUUUCAUUAUAUGGCUAUUUAUGGCUAUAGUAAAACCUUGUUAAUACUCUAGAGGCAACAUUAAAUGUCCGAUCUUCAUGAAACUUGGUCAGAAGAUUUGUAUCAAUAAUAUCUUGGAAGAGUUCCAAAAUGGAUUCUGUUGGGGGCGGGGCAUUUUUCCUUAUUUGGCUUUAGUAAAAACGUGUUAACACUCUUGAGUCACAUUUAUUGUCCAAUCUUCAUGAAACUUGGUCAGAACAUUUGUUUAAAUUAUAUCUUGGAUGAGUUAGAAAAUGGUUAUGGUCUGUUGAAAAACAUGGCCGCCAGGGGGUGGGGAAUUUAUCCUUAUAUGACUAUAGUAAAACCUUGUUAGCACUCUAAAAGUUUCAUUUAUAGUUCACUCUUGAUGAAACUUGGUCAGAACAUUUGUUCUAAUGAUAUCUUGGGUUGCACAGAACAGGUCAGUCCAUUUGUAUCUCAGGUGAGCGACUCUGGGCCUUUCAGGCCCUCUUGUUUUAACUAUGACAAUGAGUUGUGAACUUUUAUCCAAAGUCUGAAUAACACAAUUAUGUGCUUUUGUAGCCAAAUCAGGGAAUAGUAUAAUGUUAAUUUUUCUAAUUCCUUCUGGUGCUUAAAUACACACAUUAGCACAAACUGUAAUAGAAUUUGAUUUUGUCAUCAGAUGACCGAACUAUUUUACGUAAUUUAUUGAUUUAGCUGUGUAUUAUUAUGGUUCACAAUCAAAGACUGUGAUAUUGAUGAAAUAAAAAAGCAGUAUUUACAA